rnacentral:piRNA from 1 species
UUGGUACAGAUAAGUCCUGCCCCAUUGC